rnacentral:lncRNA from 1 species
GGCACACCUUGCACAGGCGUGGUCCGAGGCCGCGGCCUCCGAGCUGACGGGGGAGUCACAGAGCACAGACUCCCAGGGGAAUCGGCGGCCGUACGCCCACGGCUGGCUCCGUAAUGGUGUUAACCAAACACAAUCAAUAAGGUUGAAAAAUAGUCAAUUCAAAUGAUGUUCCAAGUCCUGAUGUCUAGGUCCCCCAUAACAAAAGCUAUGUAUCUAAAAAAAGCUAAAAUAACUUAAUAUUUGGAAUAGAGGGAGUAUUUAUUUACUCUCUUGAACAUAUAAGAUAAAUUAAGAGAGAGUGCAAAAGACAUACACAUGCCCCUCACUUUUUUAAUCUAUUUAUUAAACUAAUACAUGCAUGUAUAGUGGCUAUCAUCCACAAGAUUAAAGGGGUUGGGAUUGCUUCAUAAAUGACGCUUAACAAUACAAACCAACUGAAAUUGUCCUUCUAUCCCACAAGCUGUCAUCCACAAGGAUCAAACUUUUGAAUGCUUCUAUACCCAAAACUCGGAUCGAGGGAGUACGUCAGAUGCUUUCUUUCUUUGUUCCAUUUACUACUCAAUACAUUUUGGCAGGCGGCCAAAAAUGCUGGGCAAAGCCUCUGCUUACAAAUCAAUGCAUGUGUUAAUAACCAUUUACGCAAGUAGCUAAGUGCCUGUAUGCGAAAAUAGAUAAAAAAAAAAUAAAAAGAAAACCAGAAGCCCCCAGCUGGCAAGCCUGCCAACUUCCUUGUGUUCCUCAUUACCACCACUACUACAGUUAGGUACAACAGGGGCGGCUAAAUAAGCUUUGUAAGGACGGCUGGCCCAGCCGCCCUUAUGCAAACUGUAAGGGCGGUUCAACACCAGCCGCUCUUACAGUGGGCCACUGUAAGGACGGUUGGAAACAACAACCGCCCUUACUAAUGACCAUUGUAAGGGCGGCUGGUGCUUCCAGCCGCCCUUAUAGCAUCAUAGAUAAGCUCUAAUUUGGUCAACACAAAGCUCAAGCUCCAUGGAAGAGAGAGAAAACCAAAAUGUAAAUUGCUCACUAACCAACCAAUAAAACUUGGAUUAGAGGGUGGGAAUAGCAGUUUCUUACCUUAAACAAGCUCCCCACCAAAGGAUUUAAGUUCAAAACCUCCCCCCUUACUAGAGUGAUUUUAGGGAGGUGCCCAAGACCUCCCAAGCUUUUUUUUCGAGUGGAAGUGAGUGGCUCGGGAAGGAAGAAGAGUGGGCCGCCCCUACAGUGCCUCCCCCACUGUAAGGGCGGCUAGUAACACCAACCGUCCCUACAGUGAACACUGCAAGGGCGGUUCAUUCACUGGUUGCCUGCCCACGCACUGUAAGGGCGGUUCAAAUGUUAGCCGCCCCUACAGUGUGGGGGGCGCUCUCUUAGUAAGUUUUUCACGUAGUGCACCAUCGUUUUCAAAUAAAUCUUGUCCCACCUCAUUAUAGUAUGUGUAGAUCGGUGUAAGUCAUCUAUGGAAGAAAGAAAAUCUAUCUAGUGUGC